GUACAACGUUUGGUUGCGUUGGUCGUUGGUCGUUGCUCGUUUCACUGUUUCGUUGUUUCGAUUACAUGGGAGCACAUCGUUUUUACAGUUAUGCCGUGUGGCGCUUAAGUAGGCUUCGUUGCCUCCGUUUGUUGUUGUUGUUGCUCCAAGGAAACGGAAAUUGCACGCCAAAAAAGCCAGUCGAAGCGAAACUCUUGACAAAGUUGAACGCGUUUGUGGCCCUCGCGUCGGAGUGCGUUUUGUCGUCGGUUGCGGUAUAUUUGCGUUUUUUAGUUAUUUUCGGGUAGAAAAAUCGCGUUCGUACGUUCGUUUGCCGCCUUCUACCGGUCCCAUGAUGGCUGUGUGCGUGUUCAUACGUGUUUGUGUGUACGUAAUGUAUAUGCGCCGCUCUGCGAGCGUCUAGACGCAACCCACGUAAAUGGAAAUUUUCGGCUGCUGUUAGAAUAUUUGUGAAAUUUGCAUAAAAAUUGCGGUGCUGAAAGAAAAAUAUUGAAUGAACCGAAAUGUUACAAAUUUAAUUGUUGGCGGUAUUAGAGGAAUUCUUUAAAAGGUUGCUCCCACAUUUGAGUGAAGCAUUAAAAGUCUAAGCAAAAACAAAAAAACUAAAGCAUACAGUUUAGUGUAAUGAAAGUCGUGAAUCAUAUUUGCUUAUGUUUAAAUGUGUAACUUAUUUGUGUGCUUGUGAAAAAAAAUCAAUAAAUGCGGAAAAGUUCUCUGGCAAAUGGGCAAAACUUCUGAAAUAAAUUCAUUAAGGGCAAGCGGUGCGAAUAGUGAAAGUGACUCAUUUUGGGGUAAGCCACAAUCAACUUGAAAAACAAAUACAAGCCGAGGCUAAACAGAAUUGAGAAAAAUGUUGAUGAAAAAAACCUCAGCAAAGUAAGCAAAUCAGCAGACGUUGCAUUAGUAUGCAAGGCAUGUGGAUAAACAAGAAAGUAACGGUACUUGUAAUUGUGUUUAAUUACGCACCACAAAUACGGGAUAACCGAAAUAAUAUUUAAACAAGUCCGGAAAAACAAAAACAAAAAAAAAAACAAAUACAGAAAUAAAGAAAAAAGUUGCGAUAAGCGAAUUUUGAGAAAUGCAAAGAAAAUUAUGGAAAUUAGUGCGGAAAAAUAUGAAAAAUUAAAAGCAAGCUGAGUCAAUAGAGGAACCCACAGCGCAUCAAACAACAGACGGGCAAAACUUCUCUUAAAAUAAACACAAAAAAUUUGCAAAGCGCGCGCCAACAAUUAGUGGCGCAUAAGAAAAACGACAAACAAAAAUUAUCAUAACAGAGCGAGUGUGUGUGAGUGCGUGAGAUAGAGAGAGAGAAAUAUUAAGGAAAAAACAGUAAUAAUAAUAAGUUGAUGAAAUAAGGAGUAGCAAAUUAAACAUAAACCGCUUAUGAAAAUAACGAACUUCAGUGGUGGCCGGGAAGAAUAAAAAAAGAGCAGAAGCGAAAGGCAAGCAAAGAAGGAAGUUGCGCCAAGAACCUGCCGCGCCAAACAAAAAAGAAGAAAAAAAAAAUCGACCAAAGUAGCAAAGUGAAAAAAUGUGCGCUACUGCGUGCGAAACUUUUCCCCAUGGAUCCGCCUAGUCAGCGGAAAAAUAAAAAUUUGUAAGAGAAAAUCAAUUCCAUAAGCAACAAUAGCAACAACACAAACACUACCGAAAAAAUAUUAUCAAUCCCAAAGCAAGCAAAUAAUAAAGAUCCCAACCAAGAACAAAAACAAAGACAAGAAAAGCGAAAAACAAGACUAAAAAGAACAAAAAAAAAAAACAAAUCACGCGAAAAACGCGCGAAAGAGGCUAAAGUGCGGCUACAAACUUGGCUAAGCUACUUGGCUAACUUGACGUCGGACGCGACUAAUAGCAAUGGUCGCGCAGCCAAACCGCCAACAACAAAGCAAAUGGACAAAAAUGAUAAUCGAAAACUAAGCAGUCACUUUUACGCGGCAUCAACAACAAAAGCCAGUCAGCCGUCUAUCGAUUUUUGUGUGCGACAAUUCAGACAUCAGCAACCAAAAAUAACAACAGCAGCGGCAGCA